ensembl:lncRNA
GUGGGAUUUGUCUCACGGCAACUUAUACCAAUGAGAACAAUAUUUUGCUCUGAAGUCAUUACUUUCUGCCAUGGAUGUUUUGAAAACAGCCCGUCACCUGACAAUACAGCCUCAAGGUGCCGCUCCGAGACCGCCGAAGAGCUGCACCGGGGGAACCCAACUCCCCUUCACCGACUGCAGGAGGGCAGAAACGUCACUUGUGUGAGCAUUGAGCUACUCGAUCACACCUACCGGGAGCCAAGGGCAUAAG